rnacentral:rRNA from 1 species
AGUGAACGCUGGCGGUAGGCCUAACACAUGCAAGUCGAACGGCAGCACAGUAAGAGCUUGCUCUUACGGGUGGCGAGUGGCGGACGGGUGAGGAAUACAUCGGAAUCUACUUUUUCGUGGGGGAUAACGUAGGGAAACUUACGCUAAUACCGCAUACGACCUACGGGUGAAAGCAGGGGAUCUUCGGUCCUUGCGCGAUUGAAUGAGCCGAUGUCGGAUUAGCUAGUUGGCGGGGUAAAGGCCCACCAAGGCGACGAUCCGUAGCUGGUCUGAGAGGAUGAUCAGCCACACUGGAACUGAGACACGGUCCAGACUCCUAAGGGAGGCAGCAGUGGGGAAUAUUGGACAAUGGGCGCAAGCCUGAUCCAGCCAUACCGCGUGGGUGAAGAAGGCCUUCGGGUUGUAAAGCCCUUUUGUUGGGAAAGAAAAGCAGCAGGUUAAUACCCCGCUGUUCUGACGGUACCCAAAGAAUAAGCACCGGCUAACUUCGUG